rnacentral:rRNA from 1 species
GACGGACGCUAGCGGCGUGCUUAACACAUGCAAGUCGAACGGUGAAGCGCCUUCCUUUUUGGUGGGUGUGGAUGAGUGGCGAACGGGUGAGUAACACGUGAGUAACCUGCCCCCUUCUUCUGGAUAACCGCAUGAAAGUGUGGCUAAUACGGGAUAUUCUGGGUCUGUCGCAUGAUGGGUCUGGGAAAGAUAUUGUUUCGGUGGGGGAUGGGCUCGCGGCCUAUCAGCUUGUUGGUGGGGUGAUGGCCUACCAAGGCGGUGACGGGUAGCCGGCCUGAGAGGGUGGACGGUCACACUGGGACUGAGACACGGCCCAGACUCCUACGGGAGGCAGCAGUGGGGAAUAUUGCACAAUGGGCGCAAGCCUGAUGCAGCGACGCCGCGUGAGGGAUGGAGGCCUUCGGGUUGUGAACCUCUUUCGCCAGUGAAGCAGGCCUGCCUCGUUUGUGGGUGGGUUGACGGUAGCUGGAUAAGAAGCGCCGGCUAACUACGUG